AUUGAACGCUGGCGGCAUGCCUUACACAUGCAAGUCGAACGGCAGCACGGGAGCAAUCCUGGUGGCGAGUGGCGAACGGGUGAGUAAAGUAUCGGAACGUGCCCAGUUGGGGGGGAUAACGUAGCGAAAGUUACGCUAAUACCGCAUACGAUCUAUGGAUGAAAGCGGGGGAUCGCAAGAACUCGCGCGAUUGGAGCGGCCGGUAUCAGAUUAGGUAGUUGGUGGGGUAAAGGCCCACCAAGCCGACGAUCUGUAGCUGGUCCGAGAGGACGACCAGCCACACUGGGACUGAGACACGGCCCAGACUCCUACGGGAGGCAGCAGUGGGGAAUUUUGGACAAUGGGCGAAAGCCUGAUCCAGCCAUGCCGCGUGCAGGAUGAAGGCCUUCGGGUUGUAAACUGCUUUUGUACGGAACGAAAAGGACUGCCCUAAUACGGUGGUCCCAUGACGGUACCGUAAGAAUAAGCACCGGCUAACUACGUGCCAGCCGCCGCCGUAA
rnacentral:rRNA from 1 species